rnacentral:rRNA from 1 species
AGAGUUUGAUCCUGGCUCAGGACGAACGCUGGCGGCGUGCCUAAUACAUGCAAGUCGAGCGGACAGAUGGGAGCUUGCUCCCUGAUGUUAGCGGCGGACGGGUGAGUAACACGUGGGUAACCUGCCUGUAAGACUGGGAUAACUCCGGGAAACCGGGGCUAAUACCGGAUGGUUGUUUGAACCGCAUGGUUCAAACAUAAAAGGUGGCUUCGGCUACCACUUACAGAUGGACCCGCGGCGCAUUAGCUAGUUGGUGAGGUAACGGCUCACCAAGGCAACGAUGCGUAGCCGACCUGAGAGGGUGAUCGGCCACACUGGGACUGAGACACGGCCCAGACUCCUACGGGAGGCAGCAGUAGGGAAUCUUCCGCAAUGGACGAAAGUCUGACGGAGCAACGCCGCGUGAGUGAUGAAGGUUUUCGGAUCGUAAAGCUCUGUUGUUAGGGAAGAACAAGUACCGUUCGAAUAGGGCGGUACCUUGACGGUACCUAACCAGAAAGCCACGGCUAACUACGUGCCAGCAGCCGCGGUAAUACGUAGGUGGCAAGCGUUGUCCGGAAUUAUUGGGCGUAAAGGGCUCGCAGGCGGUUUCUUAAGUCUGAUGUGAAAGCCCCCGGCUCAACCGGGGAGGGUCAUUGGAAACUGGGGAACUUGAGUGCAGAAGAGGAGAGUGGAAUUCCACGUGUAGCGGUGAAAUGCGUAGAGAUGUGGAGGAACACCAGUGGCGAAGGCGACUCUCUGGUCUGUAACUGACGCUGAGGAGCGAAAGCGUGGGGAGCGAACAGGAUUAGAUACCCUGGUAGUCCACGCCGUAAACGAUGAGUGCUAAGUGUUAGGGGGUUUCCGCCCCUUAGUGCUGCAGCUAACGCAUUAAGCACUCCGCCUGGGGAGUACGGUCGCAAGACUGAAACUCAAAGGAAUUGACGGGGGCCCGCACAAGCGGUGGAGCAUGUGGUUUAAUUCGAAGCAACGCGAAGAACCUUACCAGGUCUUGACAUCCUCUGACAAUCCUAGAGAUAGGACGUCCCCUUCGGGGGCAGAGUGACAGGUAGUGCAUGGUUGUCGUCAGCUCGUGUCGUGAGAUGUUGGGUUAAGUCCCGCAACGAGCGCAACCCUUGAUCUUAGUUGCCAGCAUUCAGUUGGGCACUCUAAGGUGACUGCCGGUGACAAACCGGAGGAAGGUGGGGAUGACGUCAAAUCAUCAUGCCCCUUAUGACCUGGGCUACACACGUGCUACAAUGGACAGAACAAAGGGCAGCGAAACCGCGAGGUUAAGCCAAUCCCACAAAUCUGUUCUCAGUUCGGAUCGCAGUCUGCAACUCGACUGCGUGAAGCUGGAAUCGCUAGUAAUCGCGGAUCAGCAUGCCGCGGUGAAUACGUCCCCGGGCCUUGUACACACCGCCCGUCACACCACGAGAGUUUGUAACACCCGAAGUCGGUGAGGUAACCUUUUAGGAGCCAGCCGCCGAAGGUGGGACA